AGUCGGUAAAGGAAUGUGCAGAAGGCGUGAGAAUUGACUGAGUGUUGGGGUUGAGUGGCUUGUUGGUCAGUGAUGUGGAGAGUUGUCGGACAAGCCAUUGGUGCCGGUGACGUUGUGUAUGCGGCAGAUUGACCGAUAGAGAAUGUAGAGAGUUUGAUUUUAGAUAGUAGAAAGAGAAACAAAGGGUGCAACUGGUUAUUCCUAAUAGGAAU
rnacentral:lncRNA from 1 species